rnacentral:rRNA from 1 species
CCCUUAGAUGUUCUGGGCCGCACGCGCGCUACACUGAUGCAUUCAACGAGUCUAAAACCUGCUCUGAUAGGGGUGGGUAAUCUUUUGAAUGUGCAUCGUGAUUGGGAUAGAUGAUUGCAAUUUUUCAUCUUCAACGAGGAAUGCCUAGUAAACGCAAGUCAUCAGCUUGCAUUGCUUACGUCCCUGCCCUUUGUACACACCGCCCGUCGCUCCUACCGAUUGAAUGAUCCGAUGAAUAUCAUGGAUUGAGGAUGCAAGUAGGUUCGCCUAUCUUCAUCUUCGAGAAGUGAAGUAAAUCUUAUCAUUUAGAGGAAGGAGAAGUCGUAACA